GGUGGCUUAGGAAUACCCUCCCGGCUAUCGCUUCAGUGGGUAGAGGGGACCACUGCCCGAGAGCUUUAAUGGAGCUGGGUCCUGCCUUCGCGCUGAGGAGCCCUCGUUUUCGAGAUCAGGCCUGACCGGGAUAAGCUCCAGCUGUUCUUGAAGACUAAUUAGUUACACUGGAUAUGCUGCUGUUCUUUACUUUGGGAUUGCUUAUACAUUUUGUGUUCUUCGCCUCCAUCUUUGACAUUUAUUUUACAUCUCCUUUGGUUCAUGGAAUGACUCCUCAGUUUACACCAUUGCCUCCUCCAGCGAGAAGAUUAGUGUUGUUUGUUGCUGAUGGCCUUCGAGCAGAUGCACUUUACGAAUUAGAUGAAAAUGGAAACUCUAGAGCACCGUUUAUUAGGAAUAUCAUAAUGCAUGAAGGCAGCUGGGGCAUAUCUCAUACACGUGUGCCAACAGAAUCUCGGCCAGGUCAUGUAGCUCUGAUAGCUGGGUUUUAUGAAGAUGUCAGUGCAGUUGCCAAAGGAUGGAAGGAAAAUCCUGUAGAGUUUGAUUCUCUUUUUAAUGAAAGUAAAUACACAUGGAGCUGGGGAAGCCCAGAUAUCCUGCCUAUGUUUGCCAAAGGUGCUAGUGGAGACCACGUUUAUACAUAUAGUUAUGAUGCUAAAAGAGAGGAUUUUGGUGCUCAAGAUGCAACAAAACUGGAUACGUGGGUUUUUGAUAAUGUUAAGGACUUCUUUCAUCAUGCCAGAAACAACCAGUCUUUGUUUUCUAAAAUAAAUGAAGAGAAAAUAGUUUUUUUCUUACAUUUAUUAGGAAUAGAUACAAACGGACAUGCUCAUCGACCAUCCUCGAGAGACUACAAGCACAAUAUUAAAAAAGUUGAUGAUGGAGUUAAAGAAAUCGUGUCUAUGUUUAACCACUUCUAUGGAAAUGAUGGGAAAACAACAUUUAUCUUUACCUCUGACCAUGGAAUGACAGACUGGGGUUCCCAUGGGGCUGGUCAUCCUUCAGAGACUUUAACUCCUUUAGUCACUUGGGGAGCUGGAAUCAAGUAUCCCCAAAGAGUAUCAGCUCAGCAAUUUGAUGAUGCAUUUUUGAAAGAGUGGAGAUUGGAGAAUUGGAAGAGGCUAGAUGUCAAUCAGGCUGAUAUUGCACCAUUGAUGACUUCCCUUAUUGGAGUUCCCUUUCCUCUUAACUCAGUGGGAAUCCUUCCUGUGGAUUAUCUUAACAACACUGAUCUCUUCAAAGCAGAGAGCAUGUUUACAAAUGCAGUACAGAUUCUUGAACAGUUCAAGUGAAAAUGACUCAGAAGAAAGAAGUUACUUUACCAUUUUUGUUUACACCAUUUAAACUGCUUUCUGAUUCCAAACAGUUCAACAUUUUAAGAAAAGCAAGAUCUUAUAUAAAACACAGAAAGUUUGAUGAAGUGGUCUCCCUUUGCAAGGAGCUAAUUCAUCUUGCAUUGAAAGGAUUGUCCUAUUAUCACACAUAUGACAGAUUCUUUUUGGGCGUCAAUGUUGUUAUUGGUUUUGUGGGAUGGAUAUCUUAUGCCUCUUUGUUGAUCAUCAAGUCUCAUUCCAACCUUAUAAAAGGUGUUAGUAAAGAAGUGAAGAAACCAAGCCAUCUCCUGCCUUGUAGUUUUGUAGCUAUUGGCAUUUUAGUAGCAUUUUUUCUGCUGAUUCAAGCCUGUCCCUGGACAUAUUAUGUAUAUGGUUUGUUGCCACUGCCAAUAUGGUAUGCGGUUCUAAGAGAAUUUCAAGUUAUUCAGGACCUUGUUGUAUCAGUGUUGACCUAUCCUCUGAGCCAUUUUGUUGGGUACCUGUUAGCCUUUACCCUGGGAAUUGAAGUAUUAGUUCUCAGUUUUUUCUACCGCUAUAUGCUUACCGCUGGACUUACUGCCUUUGCAGCUUGGCCAUUUCUCACUCGGCUGUGGACUCGAGCAAAGAUGACCUCACUGAGUUGGACUUUCUUCUCUUUGCUCCUGGCAGUGUUCCCACUGAUGCCGGUUGUAGGUCGAAAGCCAGACAUCUCUCUAGUGAUGGGUGCAGGCUUGCUGGUUCUUCUGUUAUCCCUGUGUGUUGUAACAUCUCUC
rnacentral:lncRNA from 1 species